rnacentral:lncRNA from 1 species
GAAGGUAAACAGUUGCAAGUGUCAUCAAAACAGAAAAUGUUGGUGAUAUAUAGAUAUUGGUCAUUUGAACUUAGAAGGUAUAUAAAGUUUCAUCAAAAUCAAAAACCUUGGAGAACUUGAAGAUUGGUUUUGAAAUUACUUCUUUUCCAAACCUAUGAAGAUGAGGUAAAUCAUCAAUGCAUACAUAUUAUGUACAUCGGAAGCCAGUGAAGAGUUCAAACUAUGCAACCAUCCACUAGGUUCACUGUCACGUUAUAUUCAAUGGCAUUAGCUUAUAAGUUGAUAUAUUAGCAGU